rnacentral:rRNA from 2 species
CAUUCACGGAGAGUUUGAUCCUGGCUCAGGACGAACGCUGGCGGCGUGCUUAACACAUGCAAGUCGAACGAUGAUCCG